rnacentral:rRNA from 1 species
UGAGGGAAUAUUGGGUCAAUGGGCGAGAGCCUGAACCAGCCAAGUCGCGUGAGGGAAGACGGUCCUACGGAUUGUAAACCUCUUUUGUCGGGGAGUAAUAGGCGGGACGUGUCCUGCUGUGAGAGUACCCGAAGAAAAAGCAUCGGCUAACUCCGUGCCAGCAGCCGCGGUAAUACGGAGGAUGCGAGCGUUAUCCGGAUUUAUUGGGUUUAAAGGGAGCGCAGGCCGCUGGGCAAGCGUGUUGUGAAAUGCAGUCGCUCAACGUCUGCACUGCAGCGCGAACUGCCCAGCUUGAGUGCGCGCAACGUUGGCGGAAUUCGCCGUGUAGCGGUGAAAUGCUUAGAUAUGGCGAAGAACUCCGAUUGCGAAGGCAGCUGACGGGUGCGUAACUGACGCUCA